UAGGGAAUCUUCCACAAUGGACGCAAGUCUGAUGGAGCAACGCCGCGUGAGUGAAGAAGGUCUUCGGAUCGUAAAGCUCUGUUGUAAGAGAAGAACGUGUGUGAGAGUGGAAAGUUCACACAGUGACGGUAACUUACCAGAAAGGGACGGCUAACUACGUGCCG
rnacentral:rRNA from 1 species